AGAGUUUGAUCCUAGCUCAGAGUGAACGCUAGCGGUGCGCCUAACACAUGCAAGUCGAGCGUAAUUUUUUGUGUUUACACGAAAAAUAAGCGGCAAACGGGUGAGUAACGCAUUGAUAUUUCCCCCUAAGUCAGGGAUAGCUCAUCGAAAGGUGAAUUAAUACCGGAUAGUCUAGAAAUAGUAAAGGCAUUUAUGUCGCUUAGGGAAGAGUCUGUGUUCUAUCAGCUUGUUGGUAAGGUAAUGGCUUACCAAGGCUAUGACGGAUAGCUGGUUUGAGAGAACGACCAGCCACACUGGGACUGAGACACGGCCCAGACUCCUACGGGAGGCAGCAGUGAGGAAUCUUCCGCAAUGGGCGAAAGCCUGACGGAGCGACACCGCGUGAAGGAUGAAAGCCGAAAGGUUGUAAACUUCUUUUCUGAGAGAACAUAAUGAGGGUAUCUCAGGAAUAAGAGACGGCUAACUACGUGCCAGCAGCCGCGGUGAUACGUAAGUCUCAAGCGUUAUUCGAAAUCACUGGGCGUAAAGAGUAUGUAGGUGGAUUAGCAAGUUGGAAAUGAAAGACCGGUACUCAACUCCGUGUUUGUAUCCAAGACUGCUAGUCUAGAGUUAGGGAUGGGUAAGCGGAAUUUUAAGUGUAGGGGUGCAAUCCGUAGAUACUUAAAGGAACACCAAAAGCGAAGGCAGCUUACUGGAACUAUACUGACACUGAGAUACGAAAGCGUGGGGAGCGAAAAGGAUUAGAUACCCUUGUAGUCCACGCCCUAAACGAUGGUAACUAAGUAUUGGCAUUAGCCAGUGCUGUAGUAAACACGAUAAGUUACCCGCCUGAGUAGUACGAUCGCAAGAUUAAAACUCAAAGGAAUAGACGGGGACCCACACAAGCAGUGGAUCAUGUGGUUUAAUUCGACAAUAAACGAGGAAUCUUACCUAGGCUUGUAUCUUUGGAAUUCUUUGGAAACAAAGAAGUGCUUCUUUGAAGAGCCAAAUGACAGGUGCUGCAUGGUUGUCGUCAGCUCGUGCCUUGAGGUGUUCGGUUGAGUCCGUUAACGAGCGCAACCCAUGUCAUUAGUUAUAAUGUCUAAUGAGACUGCCUUGGUUAACAAGGAGGAAGGUGUGGAUGACGUCAAAUCAGCAUGGCUUUUACGCCUAGGGCUACACACAUGAUACAAUGGUUAGUACAAAGGGUAACAAAAUUGUAAAAUGGAGUAAAUCCCAGAAAGCUAAUCUAAGUCCGGAUUGAGGUCUGAAACUCGACCUCAUGAAGUUGGAAUUGCUAGUAAUCGUAAAUCAGAGAUGUUACGGUGAAUAUGUUCCUGGGUCUUGUACUCACCGCCCGUCACGGCAUGGGAGGUGGAGGUAUCGGAAGCCCCUUUGAUAAUAAAAGGGUCUAUGGUAAAACCACUGACUGGGCUGAAGUCGAAACAAGGUA
rnacentral:rRNA from 1 species